UGCCCCCCCCCUUUUUUUUUUUUUUUUGCUGCGGGAGGGGAAAGAACCAGAGAUGCGACGUGUGACUUCAAGAUAAUACGGGAGUGUCCUUUUCACGCCCAACAGCAAAAUUGCUUCUCCUGUUGGGGGAAGGGGGUCGCAGCGAGGCGUGGUUCAUUCAAUUAUUUUUCCUUCUUAAAUCUGCAGACAGCUGAAUGAAGCCUGCGCGGCUAGCGGAACUGAGGAAAAGGUGGCUGCGCCGCUCCACUCUACAGGACAGAGCCGCUCAGGGGACCGAGCGCCACCGCCGCCCCUCCCCACCCAAUUCCGGGGCCUGCCUCAGACCGCAGGCGGCUGGCUCCGCCCCGCCGCGCCUCACAACAUCUCCCGCUGCAAAUGGCCCAAUCGGGAGACGCGAGGAGAAAACAAGAGCCAAUCAGGCGCUGCUGACUCAGGCUUCCCUCCACCCUUGGCCCCUCCCCCGGGGACCACCAGCUAUUGUGUCUGAUCAGCUGCCACCACCAUCCUGAGGGAAAAGAACAAAACCAAGAAGCUAUGUGAUCUGCUUACCUUUUCCUUCUUUCUUAACCACUCUAUCCCCUGAGAUUUUAAGACGCCUCCCCAUCCCCUGCUCCCUGCCCGCCGCCAGGGGUCCUGUUUCUUCAUUUGGGCGGGAUGGGAGGUGGGGGGGGACACCACUCCCUGGAGCCUGAAUACCUGUGCCUUAGUUUUUAAUAUUCCUCUGAGUGGACGGUGACAAACAUUUAGAAUAUACAACUAAAUCCUCGGCCUCAAUUAGAGGAAAGACUUUGACUGGAUCAUCUUUAUAUGGCCAUGAAAUUUGCAUGUUCGUGACAGCCCCUGACAAAACUAGUCAGCCAAUAACAAAGAAAGGAAAAAAAAAAAAAGAAUAAAAUAGAGGGGAUGCCUGCCAGUCAUUUGGUAAUUUACUGAAUAGCCCACUGGGCUAUAGCAGUAUCCAGUUCUAGAUACUGUUGAGUAAAUUAACAAGAAGUGAAUAGAAAUGCAGGGUUCAAGUAGCGUACCUCUAGUGGGCUUAUAGAAUAUGUCCAGAAAGGGAAAACAAUUUCAAGCACAAAACAGCUCUUUACAAAUGCAAAUGUGCAUGCAUGGAGUACUUCACCGCUGAGGACAUCUAGGGUUAAGAUUUUUGCAAUGAAAAUUUUCACAAAUGUUGAUUUUGAAAAAGAUUUUCAGUUUAGUAAAGGAGAGUAAAUAUUGGCCAUGGAAGGAGACAUGAAAAGGAGGUUAACCCAUUUUAGGAAGUGUGGAAAAAUAACAUAACCUAGAAAGACAUUUCUAUAAGAGGUAAAUGGAAGCAUCCAGAUCACAGUCUUGCUCCAUCAUUUACCUUGUGACUUAAGGCAGAUUAUUAUUUAUGUGUCUGAGUACUAGAGCUAUCAAGUAAUAAGAGUGCUUGCCGUCUAUAAAGCACUGCCUCUGUGCUGGGUAUUCCUUCAAGAGCUUUGCACACAACGUAAGGAGAUAGCUGUGUGACAGAGCCAGGAUUAAGCCCAGGCGAUGGGCUCCAGAGUCCGUGCUUUUCUCACAACACUAUACUACAACACGAUACUCCAACAUGGUUUUUCAUAAUCAUAACAACAAUAUUAACUAACGCUUACUUAGCUUAUUAUGCGCUAAUUAGUGUGCUUUGUGGGUAACUAAUUUAAUCUCACCUCUGGGUUAGGCAUGAUUAUGAUGUUCCGUAUUGGGGAAUGUUUUUAAGAGCCAUUAUGAUAAGUUACUGUUAUAUGUUUCUUAUUUCUGUUAGGAUAGGAAUGAUCAUGAUGUUCUAAAAAUUGGGGAAUGUUUUUGAGAACCAUUGUGAUAAAUUGCUAUCAUAUGUAUCUGUGCGUUAGGCUAUCUGGAUGGACAGGGACAGUAUUGGGAAACCUGGGUCCUAGUCCUUUCCUGGGACCUCCGAGUAGGACAUCACCUUUCCUAGCUAGCUGGGAUGUUGAGAGUGUCGAAUGACAUAAUACGUGUGAAGGGACUUUCAAAAUGUAAAAACAUUAUUCUGAUUACAUUAUUUGUCUUAUUAUAAAGCAGGUGUUUAUCCUGUCUCCCCGACUGGGAACCCUACUCUUUAUAACAUUUUGUCGUUAUGUAUUAGGAACAUUUUAACCCGGUUAAAAAUUAGGCCAAUUCCUUUCUUGAAGGCAUGAGCAAUAAUAGUAUUUUAUUAACUGUUUGAGCUCUCAUUUAGAUGCAUUCUAAGCAGACCACUGUGGACACUCUCUGGGCGUCUAUAAAGUGGCAGCCAUCAGCCAGUCAUUCGCCAUGCCAAAGGUGUAACUGGUGGAGAAUGUAACUGGUGGAGAAUGUAAACCCUUGGAGUUCCCUUCAGCUGCCCAUCUUGGGCAUUUCACUCAUUAACACCUCCACCAGAGGGAGGGCAAGAGAAAGGAAAAGGAGACAAACUUCCAUCCUGCGGCUACUUGUUAACUGCUCCAGUGAGAGAUUUGGUGAAACAAUGAGUUUGGGGAUCACUCUAACUGAAAGGAGAUUUGGAACUAACUGUGGGUUUCACAGUUGAUAUCUUGAUAGUUUUCUUUACCCUAAAUACAAUGGAUAAGCAAGAGCUAACAGUAAUUCCACCUUUGUUUUACUUUGGAAGGCUAAUAUUUUCCUCUUUUGUGCAAAGCCAAUUAAUAAUCUAGCUUCUUAGAAAUUUCCACACCUAUAUUAAUAAUAACUACCAGACGGUCUUGUACACUAUAAUUCUGACAAUCUAGGCAAGACAUUUUUAAAUAUGGGAACUAUAUCCUUAAAAUGUAACUUUUGACUUUGUUAAUGACACAAUAAUAUUGUUUUGGUGAACCACAAUCAAGGAAAAAUGUCGAAGCCAGAAAUAGAGCCAAGUGUCUUAACCUCUGGUCUAAUGUCAUUCUGUUAUAAACUAUGGAUGAUUUCUACUCUGAAUAUAGAAGCUGGCAAUUCUAAGAGGCACAAGUGUUUGCCAUUGAAUUCCACAGAUGAAAUGUGUAAUUUGGGAUGAAGCAUUUGCAAAACUAUGUGUCUGAGGUAGUUAAGACCAAUGGCUCUCAGAAGAGUGAGCAUUUUUUUUUUUUUUUUUUGGUUUUAGGACAAUGCUGUAGACUUCUUUUUCAUACAAUACUAAAAAGAUACGUUACCUGCUAAUAUUUCCUUGAAAAGGCCUUUGAUGUUGAACUGAAUAGCUCCAGAAAGCCCACCUCUCUAGCAAAGCAUUCACUACUGUAAUCAAAACAAGGGAGUGAUUUUCCACAAUAAAUAAUUUCUAAGAUUCU